UAGGGAAUCUUUCACAAUGGGCGAAAGCCUGAUGGAGCAACGCCGCGUGCAGGAUGAAGGCCUUCGGGUUGUAAACUGCUUUUAUAAGCGAGAAAUAUGAUGGUAACUUAUGAAUAAGGAUCGGCUAACUACGUGCCAGCAGCCGCGGUCAUACGUAGGAUCCGAGCAUUAUCCGGAGUGACUGGGUGUAAAGAGUUGCGUAGGUGGCAUAAUAAGUAGCUAGUGAAAUCUGGUGGCUCAACCAUUCAGACUAUUAGCUAAACUGUUAAGCUCGAGACCGUUAGGGGCAUCUGGAAUUUCUAGUGUAGGAGUGAAAUCCGUAGAUAUUAGAAGGAACACCAAUAGCGUAGGCAGGAUGC
rnacentral:rRNA from 1 species